UACCGUGUAAAAGUUUGUCACAUCAAAGGUUAAGUUGGUGUUACUUUGACACACUUCAUUGGGUCCUGCAAUGAAAUCAGGAAAAAUUUCUGUCUAAAAAAGCCGUGACUCUUAUGAAGGAUGAAGCAGAGUACUACCUUUAAGCCGGACACAUCCUGGGCAACAACCGCAUAGUGCAGCAGUGUUGGAGUACAGAGUGUUUGAUGGGCAAUCAAAUGGAUUGAAACUCUGUGCACAUGUCACUUGACUGCAUUCCAGAGGGCAUCCAAAACUCACUUCUAACGAGGCAGCAAACAAAAA